rnacentral:rRNA from 1 species
GACGAACGCUGGCGGCGUGCCUAAUACAUGCAAGUCGAGCGCGGGAAAUCUGCUGAACUCUUCGGAGGGACGCAGAUGGAACGAGCGGCGGACGGGUGAGUAACACGUGGGCAACCUGCCUGUAAGACGGGGAUAACUCCGGGAAACCGGAGCUAAUACCGGAUAACCUUUCGCACCGCAUGGUGCGAAACUAAAAGAUGGUUCUGCCAUCGCUUACAGAUGGACCCGCGGUGCAUUAGUUAGUUGGCGGGGUAACGGCCCACCAAGACAACGAUGCAUAGCCGACCUGAGAGGGUUGAUCGGCCCACAUUGGGACUGAGACACGGCCCAAAUCUCCUACGGGAGGCAGCAGUAGGGAAUCUUCCGCAAUGGACGAAAGGUCUGACGGAGCAACGCCGCGUGAGUGAAGAAGGUUUUCGGAUCGUAAAAGCUCUGUUGCCGGAGAAGAACGAAUUCUGA